GCCAGGUUGGCUCAGUGAGUUAAGCCUCUGACUUUGGCUCAGGUCAUGAUCUCUCAGUUUGUGGGUUCGAGCCCUGCAUCAGGCU
rnacentral:tRNA from 1 species